GGGGGUAGGCCGGAUCCUGGGCUGUCCCUGUGCCCAGUGCUCCCGGGCCUGCGCUGUUGGAUUCGCAAUCCCGGUGGCGCAGCCGCCU
rnacentral:pre_miRNA from 1 species